AUCACACAUUUUAUCCAAAUAAAGGUGCUUUAUUAUGAGGGAAGGUCUGAAUUCAGGCAAGUGGAAGGAGAAGUGAACUGGGACUUUGGCUGACAGCACCAUGAUCACAUCACCAAUGAAAGGUUCAAUGUUAGUCCAAAAAAUUAUCUGUCACGAUAAAUUAAUGUUGAGUGUUAUUGAUUUUGCUUAAAUUAAUAAAUCUGUCAUUGUUUUAUAGUUACAUAAGAGCUGGAAGCAUAAGGAGUUUAUACCUAGUUUUAUGUUCAGGCAUAUUUAAGCUACUUCAUAAUAAAAAUAUUUAUGUCAGUACUGGGAGUUUGUGAGUAAUUUUUUCUUUUAAAUGAAGUGGUCCAUAAAUUACUGAGAUUUAAGGAACACUGGUCUUUAUAUACUUCACCACCUUUGAUAUACUCAUUAUUGAAGAGAUCAUUUACUAAACUACAGUUUCUUCCCCUAAGUCUCCAGUUUGAAACGGCUCAAUAUUGAUGAAUCUUUUAAGGCAGCACGCUUUGUUUCCUUCCUCCAACAGUAGUGGUUUCUAACAGAUAAGAAAUAUGCUUCUAAUAUGCAAACACACUGCUCAGUCCACUUCCUACCACCACCCAUUUUAUAAUGGACUGUAUAAAAUGGCACACACAUACCUGGCAACAGUAGAGUAAAUGUGUCAAAUGCAAUGUGUCAAAUAAAGGCUAGUCCUCGCCUUAACAAAGUCCGUUUCCUGGCUGGGUUCCAAUAACCAGGAAUUGGGCUGAAUGAGUACAAGAAACUCCUGAUCAUUUCUUUUUAACUUCUAUAUUCUUUAUGGAUUGAUGGACUGUAGUUCCUUCAAUCUCUAAAUAUUUCAUUUUAAAAGUCCCCCUACUGAGAAAAAAACUCCCUCUCCCCAACACACUGGCGCAUGUGUCAACAUCUUGUAUUUCUCUUCUCACAGAGCUUGGCUCAGUCAGAACAAGGAGGUCACAGCAGUCCGUUACUGGACAGAGGAGCACUCUGGAGUCCAGAAUGGCGAAAAGCUGACCCAGGGACACACGACUGGAGGGCAGUGACCAGGACCUGGUUCCAUCCAGUCUUGCCACCAAGAUCCAAGUCUGUGCGUCCGUCAUCUGCUUCAUUUUAAAUCGUAAGUGGUUUCAACUAGAACUUCACACUGAUGCCUCUGGUCAUCAUUAAACUUUUUUUUAAGUCAAGCAAUUUGAUAUUUUACUAGCAAUAAUUCAAGGAUAUUCACAGUGUAUGAAACAGCUCAUAUUUCAAUAAAGUUUUAAUGAAAGUGUCUUGAAUUCUGAAUUCCAAGUUAUUUGAAAGUGGCUGCCUUCAUUUUUUAUUUUUAAUCAGAGUAUAUUAACGUGGUGGUGGGGGAGGGGGAUGGGAUGAGAUUACCUUUUUAUUUGAAGAGAGAAAUACAACAUUACACUGAUAGUUUAAAAAUAUCAGUGAUCACAUGAAAUUCUAAUUCAGCUGUUCUCAAGUUCAGAUCCGGGGUGGGGCACAAGAACAUGCAUUCUAAAGAAGUAUUAUAUUGCUGAUGAUCUGAAAGGGAAACACCGAUCUAUUCAAUUUUUUUAAAAUUAAAACUAGUGUUGGUACUAUUUCUACUUAGUCAAGAAAGACAAAGAAGAAGAGGAGGAGAAAGGAAGAAGAGCGAGAAAGAACGCAAAAACAUACUAUACAGCCAGACAUACACACAGACAUGGUGUUACCCUUCAAGCAUGUGGGAAAUGGGCUUUCAUGGAAUAACAUUCCUAAACUCUGACCUAAUAAAUUAUGUUGAGAGUGGGUGCUAGAACUUAAAAAACCAACUCAAAGCAUAAAUGGUGCUAUUACCCAAAGAAUAGGUGAAAUCACAAACCAGUAUAGGGUUUGGCAGAUUUCAGACCCCCAAGAAAUAUUUGUUUAAUUAAGAAGCAACUCCAGCUCUAGCUGAAAAUCUAUUUAACCACAGAAGUGAAAUCAUAAUUAAUAUGAUCAUAUCUAAUCUUCCCCCUGUGUUUGCUUCCUUGGGGCAUCUGUAAUGGCUGACGUGGAAAUGGAAUCAUAAGGAUUGUUAUAAAAAUAACACUUGUUGGAAAGCUAUAUUUUCAUAGCUCAUACACUAUAAAUAUGGCUCUAUUAAUUCUUCUCAGAGAAAUUUCAGAGAAAUCUAAACUAUGAAAAUUAGACACAUUAUGAGAAUUCCCUGGUAGUCCAAUGGUUAAGACUCUAUGCUUCCAUUGCAGGGGUGCAGGUUUGAUUCCUGGUUGGAGAACUAAUAUCCUGCAUGUUGUGUGGCCAAAAAAAAAAAANNNNNNNNNNNNNNNNNNNNNNNNNNNNNNNNNNNNNNNNNNNNNNNNNNNNNNNNNNNNNNNNNNNNNNNNNNNNNNNNNNNNNNNNNNNNNNNNNNNGAACUAAUAUCCUGCAUGUUGUGUGGCCAAAAAAAAAAAACCCUACAUACAUUAUCCACUUUAAACCAAGUAAUACUGGCAAGUAAAAUCUAUCAGAAAGGACAAGUGGGAGAAGACAAAAGGGGAAGAAUAGGAAUACAAAUAAUUGAGGAGGAAAAUUCAAGAGUAAGUCAGGAAUUAAACAUAGCUAAGAAUACAAAUUAAAAGACACUUAUUCCUUGGAAGGAAAGUUAUGACGAACCUAGAUAGCAUAUUAAAAAGCAGA
ensembl:lncRNA